rnacentral:rRNA from 1 species
UAGGGAACCUUCGGCAAUGGGGGCAACCCUGACCGAGCAACGCCGCGUGAGUGAAGAAGGUUUUCGGAUCGUAAAGCUCUGUUGUAAGAGAAGAACGUGUGUGAGAGUGGAAAGUUCACACAGUGACGGUAACUUACCAGAAAGGGACGGCUAACUACGUGCCAG